rnacentral:rRNA from 1 species
UACGAAGGGUGCAAGCGUUGCUCGGAAUCAUUGGGCGUAAAGCGCACGUAGGCGGCUUGCCACGUCGGACGUGAAAUCCCUCAGCUCAACUGAGGACGUGCAUCCGAAACUGGCGAGCUUGAGUACUGAAGAGGAUCGCGGAAUUCCCGGUGUAGAGGUGAAAUUCGUAGAUAUCGGGAGGAACACCAGUGGCGAAGGCGGCGAUCUGGGCAGAUACUGACGCUGAGGUGCGAAAGCGUGGGGAGCAAACAGG